rnacentral:rRNA from 1 species
GAUGAACGCUGGCGGCGUGCCUAAUACAUGCAAGUCGAGCGAACAGACGAGGAGCUUGCUCCUCUGACGUUAGCGGCGGACGGGUGAGUAACACGUGGAUAACCUACCUAUAAGACUGGGAUAACUUCGGGAAACCGGAGCUAAUACCGGAUAAUAUAUUGAACCGCAUGGUUCAAUAGUGAAAGACGGUUUUGCUGUCACUUAUAGAUGGAUCCGCGCCGCAUUAGCUAGUUGGUAAGGUAACGGCUUACCAAGGCAACGAUGCGUAGCCGACCUGAGAGGGUGAUCGGCCACACGGGAACGGAGCCACGGCCCAGACUCUUACGGGAGGCAGCAGUAGGGAAUCUUCCGCAAUGGGCGAAAGCCUGACGGAGCACCGCCGCGUGAGUGAUGAAGGUCUUCGGAUCGUAAAACUCUGUUAUUAGGGAAGAACAAAUGUGUAAGUACCUAUGCACGUCUUGACGGUACCUAAUCAGAAAGCCACGGCUAACUACGUG